rnacentral:lncRNA from 1 species
CAGUUAGGGAUAGGAUUCAAGGCUGGAUAUUUUUAUUUUUGGCUUUGCUUGUUGUCACCUAGGACUUCUGCAGCUGUGAGGUGGUGAAACUUUUCAGAGAUUACUAAAUACAGGCAGCCUGGACUUCUUUUUUUCUUGUGUGGAAUGGAUCAGAUGGAAACCAAGUAAAGAAGGAACGAUGGAAUAACUAAAUAGGUUCUUGAGAGUUCUACAAAAUACCAGGGCAUAGCCAAACAGGUGUGUUAUUCAAAAGGAAAGGAGCAGCACAAGGCUGCAGUCAAUGUCAUUGCUAAGUUUUUAAUUCAGAAAAAGGGAGCCUUCCUUCCAGCCAGCAAAAAGGAGGAGGCAGAUGUGGUCACUAUUUUGAUCAGAAAGCAG